ensembl:lncRNA LINC01592 long intergenic non-protein coding RNA 1592
ACUUUUUGAACAAAAUUGAUGGAUCAAACUCUCCUUUUCUUGCCAGGAGAAUAGUCCUGGACUGAGCUUCAGAAGAUCUCAGAUCACUGACGUUCUGUCUAGAAGAAUACUCCAAGAUAUAUUUCUAAGUAAUAUUCCUUCUCUUGUUGGGGGAAAUUAGAGAAGAUUUCUACCUGGUGCCAUAUCAACUCAAGGAUGGAGUCAAAUACUGAGAGGCUCUGUCAUCUGUCUUUGGAUCUCCUUCUGUGAAAAUUCUAACAAGGAGCAAACAGCAAAGAACUGAAAUGCUAUACAGACUCCAGUGAGAAAAAACUGAGGUAAUUGGUUUCGGUGUGCUGGUGCUUGAAACUCUAUCCCAGUGCUUCCUUCAACUAAGGCUGCAAAUUGAAAAUGUGAAGAACCUUGCCUGCUUGAACCAGCCUGGGCUUGUGGCAGCAUCAUUCUGUCACUUAAUUCUUCUCACAGAGGUAAUGCCUAUUAAGUGACUUAGCAAGGGCGUGCAUGAUGUAGUCACGAGAUGGAUAUUGGUAACAGUGAUUCCUUGCUGGUACUUUCUAUUAAGUCUAGGUUUCUUGUCACUCAUUGAUCGACCGCACAAAAUCUCACCUGCUAAAUAAUUUGCCCAGGCUUCCACAUCAUUGUACCUGUAUUGAUGAUCCCCAGUGCACAAGAUUACCACGUGAAUGGCAAUGAAAUUUGUGGCGCUGAUACUCAGGGUCUCCACCAGCGAUGUAUAUCACUAUUAAUUUCACUUUGUAUUUCAGAAAGCCGAACCUUUUAAAAUGGAGCUUAUUGCACCAAAAAUAGUUGGAAAUAGAGUAAAACCAAAGAGAAAACCUUAACAACUAUAUAUUUUUAUUUGUUUUAGCAGGAACAUUUUUCUAUUCAUGUUCCAGAUUAUUUUCUAAAGUAAAAUAUAUUGAUUGUAAAUUUUUUUUUCCAAAAAAGCUACAUCAAUUUAUAUUCAACUAAGUUCUGGCCACACAAAGGAAAAUAAGCAAAUAAAAAUAACUUUCGACUCCCCCAAACUCAAAGAUAUCCAGUUAUCUAAGCUUCCAAUGUUUUCUUGUAAAAGUGGUCGCUACCCUGAGGAUAAACUUGAAUAUGUACAUCCUAUAUCCCUAGAUUUCUUUCUUACGCCCUCAAGACUAACCAGAAGAAAAAACGCUUUCUCUUCCAGAAAAUGCAGCAACUGUACUUCGGUUUUACAUAUAUUAUUCUGAAGGUGAUAUGUAAAUAAGAUUUUUCUGGAAAAAGAAGCAAUCAAAAUAUUUUGGUUCAGUUUGGCUAAUGAAAUUCUUGUGUUUUUACUUCUCAUGACUCACUACCAAAA